UAGCGAGAGUGGAUAUUUUUUAACACCAUGUCAACAAAAAAGACAAAUUGUUGAUGAGCGAUGUACGGUUGAAAUAAUGCCUGAUGAUAAAUUCUAUUCUAAUGCGAACAAUAAAUCACCUUUGUGUAUUGGUAUUAUGAUGUGUAAUUAUGAUGUGUAAUUCGAUUAAUCCAAAUCAGAUUAGAAACUAGUGUAGGAAGAUCUUGUGUAGUGUUUUAAGGAGCCAAUAAGAAGAUCAUGUAGUGAGAAGACUUCACCCCGGAAGCUUAAACAAGUUGAAGGCUCUUUUGUAUGGCAAUACAAAUUACGAAAUUACAACGAGUGAAACGUGUUAGCAUCUUUGAUACACAGCUGCUAUUUGGACCAGCGAUCAUGCAGUUUUGAAGGCUACACGUGGAAAUGGAUACCCUCGAUACGAGAUUUCAACGUGCCAUAAUGCGAUUUGGAGCUGGCUGAUAACUAUUCGACUAAAACUAUAUAAGGAAUAGACAAACGAAUGAAAUAUCA